rnacentral:rRNA from 1 species
GACGAACCGUCCAACCGUUAUUCGGAAUCACUGGGCUUAAAGGGUGCGUAGGCGGCCAUGUAAGUGGGGUGUGAAAUCCCUCGGCUCAACCGAGGAACUGCGCUCCAUACUGCAUGGCUUGAGGGAGACAGGGGUAAGCGGAACUGAUGGUGGAGCGGUGAAAUGCGUUGAUAUCAUCAGGAACACCGGUGGCGAAAGCGGCUUACUGGGUCUCUUCUGACGCUGAGGUACGAAAGCUAGGGGAGCGAACGGG